rnacentral:rRNA from 1 species
UGGCGGCGUGCCUAAUACAUGCAAGUCGAGCGAACAGACGAGGAGCUUGCUCCUUUGACGUUAGCGGCGGACGGGUGAGUAACACGUAGGUAACCUACCUAUAAGACUGGGAUAACUUCGGGAAACCGGAGCUAAUACCGGAUAAUAUUUCGAACCGCAUGGUUCGAUAGUGAAAGAUGGCUUUGCUAUCACUUAUAGAUGGACCUGCGCCGUAUUAGCUAGUUGGUAAGGUAACGGCUUACCAAGGCAACGAUACGUAGCCGACCUGAGAGGGUGAUCGGCCACACUGGAACUGAGACACGGUCCAGACUCCUACGGGAGGCAGCAGUAGGGAAUCUUCCGCAAUGGGCGAAAGCCUGACGGAGCAACGCCGCGUGAGUGAUGAAGGUCUUCGGAUCGUAAAACUCUGUUAUUAGGGAAGAACAAACGUGUAAGUAACUGUGCACGUCUUGACGGUACCUAAUCAGAAAGCC